AUGAAGCUAAAACGAGUUGGAGUUCUAGGGGGUGCAAAAAACUUCCUGAUGUUGGAUGGACACAGACUGAUUCCAGCUGAAUAUGUGAAGACAUGUUCUGAUGGGGCUGGUGCUGGGGCUGUAUUGCAAAGAGGGGAUGACGGCGCUGUUAUGUUUUUGCUGUUGCUGAUUUUUGUUGGUUGGUCACAGCGCGUUGGUAAGGCUUCGCAUGACGAGGCUCUGCCACUAAUCAACAGCCUUAGUUCAGUUUUUCUUUUUUUAGAAGAAGCCUUAGUUCAGCUGAACGAUUGUCCUCUCUGUUUAUAG
rnacentral:rRNA from 1 species